AUUGAACGCUGGCGGCAUGCCUAACACAUGCAAGUCGAACGAGUGGCGGACGGGUGAGUAAUGUCGGGGAAACUGGCUGAUGGAGGGGGCAAACUACUGGAAACGGUAGCUAAUAACGCAUACCAUCGGAUGUGCCCAGAUGGGAGUAGCUAGUAGGUGGGGUAAAGGCUCACUAAGGCGAAGAUCCCUAGCUGGGCUGAGAGGAUGAGCGGCCACACUGGAACUGAGACACGGUCCAGACUCUUACGGGAGGCAGCAGUGGGGAAUAUUGCACAAUGGGCGCAAGCCUGAUGCAGCCAUGCCGCGUGUAUGAAGAAGGCCUUCGGGUUGUAAAGUACUUUCAGCGGGGAGGCGUUACCCGCAGAAGAAGCACCGGCUAACUCCGUGCCAGCAGCCGCGGUAAUUC
rnacentral:rRNA from 1 species